UGGGGGAUCUUGCGCAAUGAGCGAAAGCUUGACGCAGCGACGCCGCGUGGGGGAUGAAGGCCCUCGGGUUGUAAACCCCUUUCGGCAGGGACGAAGGGAAACUGACGGUACCUGCAGAAGAAGCCCCGGCUAACUACGUGCCAGCAGCCGCGGUGAGACGUAGGGGGCGAGCGUUGUCCGGAUUCAUUGGGCGUAAAGCGCGCGUAGGCGGCCCGGUAAGUCGGAUGUGAAAUCCCGGAGCUCAACUCCGGAACUGCACCCGAUACUGCCGGGCUCGAGGUAGGUAGGGGAGAUCGGAAUUCCUGGUGUAGCGGUGGAAUGCGCAGAUAUCAGGAGGAACACCGGUGGCGAAGGCGGAUCUCUGGGCCUUACCUGACGCUGAGGUGCGAAAGCUAGGGGAGCGAACAGGAUUAGAUACCCUGGUAGUCCUAGCCGUAAACGUUGGGUGCUAGGUGUGGGCGGUUAUCAACCCGUCCGUGCCGAGCUAACGCAUUAAGCACCCCGCCUGGGG
rnacentral:rRNA from 1 species